AUGCAUACAUGAAUUAAAUUUAGAUUUUAAAUAUCCCUCAUGUGACAUGUGCAAUGGGAAAUUCUCAUGCUAUGCGCUCAGAAGUCAGAAUGCUUCUUAUUUGGUAAAAGUAGAUGAGGAAUUUGGUGGCUUUUCUCUUUCACAAUAAUGUAAUCCAAUAUUAUUAAAAGCUUUCCGACAACUCCGUGAGAUUUUUUGUCUACC
rnacentral:lncRNA from 1 species